CAGUCGCCGCGGGAAUACGGAGGGUGCGAGCGUUAAUCGGAAUUACUGGGCGUAAAGCGUACGCAGGCGGUUUGUUAAGUCAGAUGUGAAAUCCCCGAGCUUAACUCGGGAACUGCAUUUGAAACUGGCAGGCUAGAGUCUCGUAGAGGGGGGUAGAAUUCCAGGUGUAGCGGUGAAAUGCGUAGAGAUCUGGAGGAAUACCGGUGGCGAAGGCGGCCCCCUGGACAAAGACUGACGCUCAGGUGCGAAAGCGUGGGGAGCAAACAGGAUUAGAUACCCGUGUAGUCCCUGUCUCUUAUAC
rnacentral:rRNA from 1 species